rnacentral:lncRNA from 1 species
GUGGCUGGCACAUGGUUCCAGCAUGGGUGAGACGUGUUUCAGGCCUGGCUGACACGUUGUUCAGGUGUGUCUCACAUUGUUCAGGCAUGGCAGACAUGUGAUUCAUGCAUGGUUUGCACGUGGUUCAGGUUUGGCUCGCUUGUGGUUUGUGCGUGGCUGGCAUGUGGUUCAGGCAUGACUGGUACAUGAUUCAGGCAUGAUUGGCAGAUGAUUCAGGCAUGGGUGACACUUCAUUCUCAUGUCAGUGACAUGUGGUUCAGUCAUGGCUUGCAUGUGGUUCAGGUGUUGCUCAUACCUGGUUCAGGUGUGGCUGACACAUGACUAAGGUGUGGCUGAUGCAUGGUUCAGGAGUGGUUUGUGUGUUUCAGGCGUAGCUCAGGAGUGGCUCAGGUGUGGCUCAUGAAUGGUUCAGGCAUGGCUCACGUGUGGUUCAGGCAUGGCUGAAACAUGAUUCAGGCCUGGCUCGCUUUUGAUUCAGGCAUGACUCGCACAUGUUUAAGGCAUGGAUUGCACAUGAUACAGGCCUGGCUGACACGUGGUUCUGGCAUGGCUGACACGUGAUUCAGGUGUGGGUGAGUGUCAAACUCAAAGUCAGAGACACCACUGAGUGUGUUACACACAGUAUCAUAAAUGCCAAGGCAAGCGUGAACAUGGUGUCAGGGAAACGAGGUGGAGGGGGACACUCAAAGUCUGAGAUGGCACAGGGAUUGUUAUACACGAAGUCAAGAUGUCAGGUGGAGUGUGACACAUGAAGUCACAGAUGCCAGGGUGAGUUUGACACAAGAAGUAAGGGACGGAACAGGGAUUGUGACAGACGAAGUCAGAGAUGCUGGGGGAGUGUUAUGGACAAAGUCAGAGAUGCCGCUGGGGUAUGUUACACAUGAAGACAGAGAUCGCAGGGAGAGUGUUACACAUGAAAUCAAAGACACCACAUGGAGUGUUACACACGAAAUCAGAGACACCACAUGGAGUGUUACACACGAAGUCAGAGACACCAAGGGUAGUGUUACACAUGAGGUCAGAGACAACAGGGGGUGGGUGACACAUGAAAUCAGAGACACCAGUGGUACUGUGACACACCAAAUCAAAGAUGCCAGGGGGAGUGUUAAACAUGAAGUCUGUGAUGCCUGGGGGAGUCAUGUGCCCAGAGUCAGAGACACCAUGGAAGAUUGUUACCCAUGAAGUCAGAGAUGACAGGUCAAGUGUGAAACACAAAGUCACAGAUGGCAGGGGGAAUGUUGCACAUGAAGCCAAGCACCCAGCUGUAGUGUUACACAUGAAGUCAAAGACGUAGUGUUAAGUGUUACCCACGAAAUCAGAGAUGCCACAGAGGAGUGUUCCACAUGAAGUAAGAGACACAAGGGGGUGUGUCAUGCACAAAGUCAGAGACACCAGUGAGAGGGUUACAAAAGAAGAAAGUGAUGCUGCAGUGUGUACUACACAAUAUAUCAGAGACAGCAUGGGAACAGUGACAAAGUAUGUCAGAGAUGACAGGGACAGUGUUAAACAAGAAGUCAGAGGUGAUAGAGUGACUGUGACACACGAAGUGUGAGAUGACAGGGGGAGUGUUACACAUGAGUUCUAGACAUCCCUGGAGGUGGGUUGCACAGGAAGCCUGAGAUGACAGAUGAAGUAUGAAACACGAAGAAAUGACACCACAGGGAGGGUUACACACGAAUUCAGAAAUGAAAUAUGGAGCACCACAGAAGAAGUCACAGAUGCCACAAGGAGAGUUGCACACAAAGACACAAUAACCAUGGGGACAGUGACACAGAAGUCAGAGAUGACAGGCAGAGUGUUACACACAACAUCACAGACGACUGGGGAGAGUCACACAUGAAUUCAAAGACCACCAAGUGCAGUGUCACUCAUAAAUUCUGAGAUGCCAUGGAGGUGUGUUACACGCGAUGUCAGAGAUGUCACAUGCAGUGUUACCCACGAAGUCAUAGCUGAUGGGGCGUGUUACACACGAAAUCAAAGACACCAAGAGGAUUGUUACACACAGCAUCAGAGAUGACAGGGGGACUUUGACACAGGAUGUCAGAAACUCCAGGAGAAGAGUUACACAUGAAAUUGGAAAUGAAAUAGGGAGUGUUCCAUACAACUUCAGAGAAGCCACCACGAGUGUGACACAUGAGAUCAGAGAUGCCAUGUUGAAGUAUUACACACAAACUCAGAGGUGACAGGAGGAGUGUUGUGCAUGAAGACGGAGACACCUGGUUUGGUGUUCUAAAAGAAGUCAGAGGCCCCAGGGGGAGUGUUAGACACAAAGUCAGCAAUGCAAGUGGAAGUGUGACACAUGAAGUCACAGAUGCCAA